rnacentral:rRNA from 1 species
UACAGAGGUCUCAAGCGUUGUUCGGAUUCAUUGGGCGUAAAGGGUGCGUAGGCGGCGCGGUAAGUCGGGUGUGAAAUCUCGGAGCUUAACUUCGAAACUGCAUUCGAUACUGCCGUGCUUGAGGACUGGAGAGGAGACUGGAAUUUACGGUGUAGCGGUGAAAUGCGUAGAUAUCGUAAGGAAGACCAGUGGCGGAGGCGGGUCUCUGGACAGUUCCUGACGCUGAGGCACGAAGGCCAGGGGAGCAAACGGG